AUGGCCUGGGCCCUGUUUCUUCUCACCAUUCUCAGUUACUGGUCAGGUGCCAGUUCACAGCCUGCUUUGACACAGCCUCCCUCACAGUCUGUUGCUCCUGGACAAACAGUUAAACUCUCCUGCACUGUCAGCAGUGACAAAAAUGGCUUCUGCUGGAUUCAACAGAGAUCUGGACAGAGCCCCCACCUCAUACAGUGUGCAGGUGGUAGCAGGGGAGAUGGAGUCCCGGACCGGUUCACUGCCACUGCUUCUGGGAAUGUUGGCUCUUUAACCAUCACGAACACCCAGCCGGAAGAUGAGGCUGAUUAUUACUGUUGCAUGUGGUAUAGCAGCG